rnacentral:rRNA from 1 species
UACGUAGGGGGCGAGCGUUGUCCGGAUUUAUUGGGCGUAAAGAGCUCGUAGGCGGUUUGGUAAGUCGGGUGUGAAAUCUCCACGCUCAACGUGGAGGGGCCACUCGAUACUGCCAUGACUCGAGUCCGGUAGAGGAGUGUGGAAUUCCCGGUGUAGCGGUGAAAUGCGCAGAUAUCGGGAGGAACACCGGUGGCGAAGGCGGCGACCUGGGUAGAUACUGACGCUGAGGCGCGAAAGCGUGGGGAGCAAACAGG